rnacentral:rRNA from 1 species
GACGAACGCUGGCGGCGUGCUUAACACAUGCAAGUCGAACGGAAAGGCCUCUUUCGGGGGGUACUCGAGUGGCGAACGGGUGAGUAACACGUGAGUAACCUGCCCUUGACUUUGGGAUAACUUCAAGAACCUGGGGCUAAUACCGGAUAGGAGCUCCUGCUGCAUGGUUGGGGUUGGAACGUUUCGGCGGUUGGGGAUGGACUCGCGGCUUAUCAGCUUGUUGGUGGGGUAGUGGCUUACCAAGGCUUUGACGGGUGGCCGGCCUGAGAGGGUGACCGGCCACAUUGGGACUGAGAUACGGCCCAGACUCCUACGGGAGGCAGCAGGGGGGAAUAUUGCACAAUGGGUGGAAGCCUGAUGCAGCAACGCCGUGUGCGGGAUGACGGCCUUCGGGUUGUAAACCGCUUUCGCUCAUGACGAAGCUUUGUGUGACGGUAGUGGGUAAAGAAGCACCGGCUAACUACGUG